GAUGGUUACGGAGAGGGUGACCUGUCCCUCACCUUCACCGGUGUACGCUCGUCUGACCAGGGGACCUACCUGUGCUUCUUCAACCAGGAUAGUAAGCCAGGAUAUCCACAUGGAGUCACUCUCACUGUUAACGAAAAGCGAUCGGAGCCUGCAAUGAUUGAUAGAGAAAGGAGUAGGGUACCAGUGAUAGGAAUAAAUAUUCUACUUCUGUUAAUCAUUUGUGUGCUCGUGUUACUGGCGAUUCACAAGAGAAAAAGGAGACAGCCAACAGUGGGCUUCACAGUCACGGGAAAAGAGGACACCACGAUGAUCAACACAGCAUCACCAGCACAUCUGUCCAUUGAGGAUCUUCCUGUUCCAGUUCAGGACAGCCAACCGUUGUCAGAAGUUCAAAGAAUCCAGAAUUGUUGUGAUGAUCAUCUUGAUGAGGCCACGUGUCCUGAGGGGAUGGAUGAACGCACAGAGGAAGAGGAGGAGCUCCAUCUCCCAGUAGCUGAAAGUGGGACACUGCUAGAGCAGGAGAAGAGUAGCACAGGGAGUUGAGUUAUGUAUGAAAGUAGUAUGUUCUGGUUGCCAACUUCUUUGUUGUCGUGAAAUGUUGGAUGAAAUGUUCUAUGUUCACUGAAGUGGAUGUGGAUGUCUUCCUAUCAUAGUUUACUAUAUGAAUCGGUAGCCAAUGACUGUAGCUUGAUUGCCUUGAAUCAAAUGAUACAGGGUUUAUUUUAUCUAGGGCCCAGUCUUUGCUGAUGUUCUGCCUAGUCUUCCAGUUUAAAGCUAGUGAUUUUAAACCAGCAUAAGCAUUUUAUUGGGGGGUGAGAGGUAUAAAGGAGGAUCCUUUGAGUGUGUGAAUAUGAAAGGGAAGCUGGUAAGGUAUAAAGGAGGAAUCAUUCAUCUCUCUGGUGGUGGUGCUACUGAUAUUGUAACUGGAAGGUUUACUAGUCAAGAUCAAUGUCACAUUUAAUCUGGCCUUGCUUGAUAUCAAAGGGGAUAUCACGGUACGUGUAAUAGACAAUAUCCCCACAAGAGGGCAGACGUACACCAUAAUUUUUAAGUAAACUAUGAUUAUUUUUGGGUCAGUGAUACACUUGAGACGUCCCUACCCUAAAUCCUAACCUUAAUCCACAAGCAAUACUUUAAUCCUUACAUUAACUAUUUUACAUUUCAACUUCUGUGGGGUAGGCACGUCCCAAGGAUCCUCGAUAACAGAUGAAUGUAUUAUUAUAACGUAUUACAUGAUGCGUAAUAAAUAUAUGUAUUUGCUAAAUGAUUAUAAAGAAUGUUUGCUAUA